rnacentral:rRNA from 1 species
UACGGAGGGUGCAAGCGUUAAUCGGAAUUAUUGGGCGUAAAGGGCGCGCAGGCGGCCACGCACGUCCGUUGUGAAAUCGCCCGGCUCAACUGGGCGGGGUCAGCGGAUACGGCGCGGCUGGAGCAAGCUAGGGGGCAAUGGAACUCCCGGUGUAGUGGUGGAAUGCGUAGAUAUCGGGAAGAACACCAGUGGCGAAGGCGGUUGCCUGGAGCUUUGCUGACGCUGAGGCGCGAAAGCGUGGGGAGCGAUCCGG